AAAAAAUGUGUCCCGCACCGACGUGGAAUGUGUGUGGAAGAAGGCCAACACUCCGAAGGGGGACGAAAUUGCAGCCAAGAGAGUGUCUGAGAUGACACCAUCCACAACACGAGCUGGCAUCAAAAGACCUGUCACCCAGGAGGACAAAGAAUGGGUUCAGGGAUCCCUGUUGCAACUUGGGUGUUUUACAGGGAUGGGGUGGAUUUUGAGUCCAGAUACGCCUCAGACUCUCCCAAUCAAGAUGUUUGAUGGGCUGGUGACCAGCCCAGGUUUUGUCCAAGCUGAGGACAAGGCUCUAUAGGUGCUGUCAAUGCUUGCUGUUAAUGAUCAGGAGAAGCAGCAGAUUGAGGAAGCAACAGUUGGCCAGGCUAAGA